UAAAAUAUAAAACAAGUAUAGAUUAUAGUUGUUGCUUUACUCGUAUGUUUAAAUUUUAAUGAUAAUAAAGUAACAAUUAAAAAAAAUCGACUGCGGAAAAUUAGCUGGCAUAUAAAAAGCUUUUCUAUAACAUCACCUUUUCUGGUUGGAAGGUAUAUCUUCGUGCAUAAAAACUUUCAUGAUCAUCGGUUGAAUAGUUAGUUAGAAAGCGUAACAAAUAACCUUUCGCAUUUAUAAUAAUAGUAUGGAUAAAAAACAUGUUUUCCUACUGAAUGACGUUACAGCGGCCAAUCUUAUCCGAGACGAGUGAAUUCAGAAUUCAACUAUCUAUUCUUUCUAGUAAUUUUGCUAUGUAUUGUUAGGAUUAAGCAAACUAGAUUCAUAAUUAUAUCACAUUUUUAUUUUCAUGCUGGCAACUUUGUUUUUAAAUGAUCUCUCAGUUGUCAUUCUGUGAUUGGUUGACGCCGGUUGAAGUAAAAUGGCGGGAACCAAUCAGAUUUAUUUUAUCCAAGCUUGAAAGCUACAACUUGACAGAAGACGUUAUUGUUUUCAUGUUGGCGGUCGAUUAUUCUCUGUUGAGCGAAUCACGAGUUAAGUCGAGUAGAAUUGAAACAGUUUUAUAACCAACAUCUUUGAAAAGAGCUACUGUAGAGUUUCUUAUCGAUUCUUCUCUGCAAUGUCUGCAAUUCCGAAUCGAGAGUAGUUUCACCACCAAUAGAAAUAUCAUAAAGUAAUUGAAAUAAAAGAAGGUAUUCAAACAAUCAAGAAGUUAUUAUUACCUGAAUCCUGAGUACGCCUACAUUUCAGAAGUGGAGGAUAACCUACGUAAGUAAUUGUGAUAAUUAAUUAUAAAUUCUUUAAUUAUUUUGACAGAUUUUUAAGUGUAACGAAUAAACAAAGAAAUGGUUUUGUGACAAAUGGAUAAAGUAUAUCACAAACUACAACUUUCACGUACAGUUUGAGAUUGUAAUAUUUAUAGUCUAAAUAGCUAAAUAGUUAUUGAUAGAGGUUGCGAGUAGUUUUGUUCAACCUGUAAAAUAAAAUCUUGGUUGGUGCGUUAGCUAUUUAAUUGAUGAAGGUACGCACAUAGACGUAAUAAAAAUUCGAGCUACCGUCAAAUGAACAAGAAAGUGAUGCAUCCCAAUUUCCCAUGUAAGUACAUGCCAUCACGCUCAAAUUGCAUAUGCGGUAUAUGAAGACAGACCAAGGCCAUUAAUUUCAUACAUCUGGCAAUAUACUACACACUCGCACGUAGAUACUCGGCGCUAUUAUGCUGCUUCAGUAUCGGAUGUUUGACAGCGAGAAAUCGUUUGCCUAUUUUAUUAGUUUAUGGGAAGAUCAAUGAUAUAUUUAUACUAUAGACCGGUUACGUCCCUACAAAAUCACCGCAUAAAGUGAUCCGAAUAAUAAUAGUAAUAGGCGCAUACAUGUACAAUUUAGUUCCAUGAUUUAUUUAUGUGUAUAUAUUGUUUAUACUUCCUGAACACACAACUCGAAAUUGUAGACGAUAUUUAGGUAUUAUUUGUAUAAAUAACGUUCGUUGUUGACCAAAACAUUUAUUAGCUUACUAUAAAUUUCCUCUUUUGAGCGCCUCAUUUUUCAUGCGCUAGUAACACAAAACACAUCUAACAGUGUUUAAUAUCAUUGGGGUAGACUGAAAUGUUGUUUUCAAUAGGAUAGUUGACUCGUAUAAAAAUAAUAAUUAUUAAAAAUAAUAUUAUACAAAUAAUUGAUAUAAUUUUGUAUAGUAUUUGAAAAGAUUCCAAAUAUACCAAUUACCUAUUAUAAAAGAAAGCUAUAUAUUAUCAUCUUUAUCAAAUUGUAAGUCGAAAAAACGCAUACCUAUACAUAUAUUAACGUUGUUCAUUUUCUUUUGUUCGAGUUCGAAUGAGUUACAAGAGGGAAACAGACAAGAGAUACCAUAGUUGCAACAGAUGUCGAAACGAGACAAACAAAGAGGACAACCGUCGAGCAGUCGUGGUGGUCUGAGUCAAAGCCGGUUUGAGGGACUAGAGUCCAGCUGAGACGCCGCCACGUGGAGUUUUACUUCAGUUGAGCGACGCUGGAGUGCUAACCAGGGUAGUCUCUGGGCCAUGGACCAUAAUGAAGUGGUAAGCUGGUCACAGGAAGACUCGAGGUUGGGCUCGUGAUUAGUGGAGUGCCGAUCAGGGUUGUCUCUGGGCUAUGGACCAUAAUGAGAUGGUAGCUAGUCACAGGGAGACUCGAGGUGGGGCUCGUUAUGUGGAGUGCUGACCAGGGUUGUCUCUGGGCCAUGUCGAUCAUAGUGAGAUGGUGGCUGGUCUCGGAGAGACUCGAGGUCAGGUUUCUGGAUUGACGGCGCCGGGGAGUAGAAGUGGCGCUGGUGUGACGGCGCCAAGGCGUUGAAAUGGCGCUGGUGUGACGGCGCCAAGGCGUUGAAGUGGCGCUGGUGUGACGGCGCCAAGGCAUUGAAGUGGCGCUGGUGAGACGGCGCCAAGGCGUUGAAGUGGCGCUGGUGUGACGGCGCCAAGGCGUUGAAGUGGCGCUGGUGAUACGGCGCCAAGGCGUUGAAGUGGCGCUGGUGUGACGGCGCCAAGGCGUUGAAGUGGCGCUGGUGUGACGGCGCCAAGGCGUUGAAGUGGCGCUGGUGUGACGGCGCCAAGGCGUUGCAGUGGCGCUGGUGUGACGGCGCCAGGGCGUUGCCGUGGCGCUGGUGUGACGGCGCCAGGGCGUUGCAGUGGCGCUGGUGGGACGGCGCCAGGGCGUUGCAGUGGCGCUGGUGGGACGGCGCCGGGACGUUGAAGAGCGGCGCGAAAGAGUCCGCCGCGGGCAUUGUACAUCAAAUAUCAGAUGAGACACGAGAAUCGAUCGGAUCGUGUCUUGUCACUCUCGAUGGAGCUGGAAUCAGGCACGAGAAUCGAUCGGAUCGUGGCCUGAUACACAGCAGAAACACUAGAACCAGGCACGAGAAUCGAUCGGAUCAUGUCCUGGUAUGUGAAUAUUAGAGUAUGUUGCCCCACUGGCUGCCACAAGUAAAUCGAUCGUCUUGCAGGCAUAUAUGUGGGGUAAGCUGAUAAUAGUGGGUUAUUCGAUUAAUCGAUCGUUCGAAUCCCAACGAAAUAGUUAGAAGUCAUAUAAGUGAAAGAAAGCAUUAAUCGAUCGUUGUUUUUCUUAUCAAGCAGAUCUAUAUAAUUACUUACGAAGUAAUGUGACCAAUAAUAGCAGUAUGUAAUAUAAAUAUUAAUAGUCUUAAAAGAUAAUCAGUUUACGAAUGUAACCGAUUAUAAUGAUGUUUGUGAUUGUUGCAUUAAUUAUGUUGAUUGCAAUGUGUAAAAUCAAUUGAGAAUAUAGUCUGCAGUUUACGAAUAUACCUAACCGUUUUUAUUGAUAUUUGCAACUGUUGCAUUAACUAUGUUGAUUGCGAUGUAUAAAAUCAAUUGAGAAUAUAAUCUACAUUUUGAUAUAUAAGAUACAAGAGUUAUUCAGUUCAUAAAGUAAGUUUAUUAGAAUGGUAUUAACAUUGAAAUUUGUAUACAAUCAGAGUUUUAUAAGAAUGUACGAGUAGAAUAAUAUUAUGAAAAGAGUAAGAGUAAGAGUUUAUGUAAAGAGUGACAACUGACUAACUUUCGAUUGUUAGGAUGCCUCCUGGCGACAUGUGCGGGGCGCACACGUUGUCAGGACGGUCGAUUGUUAGGAUUAAGCAAACUAGAUUCAUAAUUAUAUCACAUUUUUAUUUUCAUGCUGGCAACUUUGUUUUUAAAUGAUCUCUCAGUUGUCAUUCUGUGAUUGGUUGACGCCGGUUGAAGUAAAAUGGCGGGAACCAAUCAGAUUUAUUUUAUCCAAGCUUGAAAGCUACAACUUGACAGAAGACGUUAUUGUUUUCAUGUUGGCGGUCGAUUAUUCUCUGUUGAGCGAAUCACGAGUUAAGUCGAGUAGAAUUGAAACAGUUUUAUAACCAACAUCUUUGAAAAGAGCUACUGUAGAGUUUCUUAUCGAUUCUUCUCUGCAAUGUCUGCAAUUCCGAAUCGAGAGUAGUUUCACCACCAAUAGAAAUAUCAUAAAGUAAUUGAAAUAAAAGAAGGUAUUCAAACAAUCAAGAA